GAUGAACGCUGGCGGCGUGCCUAAUACAUGCAAGUCGAGCGAACGGACGAGAAGCUUGCUUCUCUGAUGUUAGCGGCGGACGGGUGAGUAACACGUGGAUAACCUACCUAUAAGACUGGGAUAACUUCGGGAAACCGGAGCUAAUACCGGAUAAUAUUUUGAACCGCAUGGUUCAAAAGUGAAAGACGGUCUUGCUGUCACUUAUAGAUGGAUCCGCGCUGCAUUAGCUAGUUGGUAAGGUAACGGCUUACCAAGGCAACGAUGCAUAGCCGACCUGAGAGGGUGAUCGGCCACACUGGAACUGAGACACGGUCCAGACUCCUACGGGAGGCAGCAGUAGGGAAUCUUCCGCAAUGGGCGAAAGCCUGACGGAGCAACGCCGCGGGAGUGAUGAAGGUCUUCGGAUCGUAAAACUCUGUUAUUAGGGAAGAACAUAUGUGUAAGUAACUGUGCACAUCUUGACGGUACCUAAUCAGAAAGCCACGGCUAACUACGUG
rnacentral:rRNA from 1 species